rnacentral:rRNA from 1 species
UACGAAGGGGGCUAGCGUUGUUCGGAAUUACUGGGCGUAAAGCGCACGUAGGCGGAUACUUAAGUCAGGGGUGAAAUCCCGGGGCUCAACCCCGGAACUGCCUUUGAUACUGGGUAUCUCGAGUCCGGAAGAGGUGAGUGGAAUUCCGAGUGUAGAGGUGAAAUUCGUAGAUAUUCGGAAGAACACCAGUGGCGAGGGCGGCUCACUGGACCGGCAUUGACGCUGAGGUGCGAAAGCGUGGGGAGCAAACAGG